rnacentral:rRNA from 1 species
GAGUUUGAUCAUGGCUCAGAACGAACGCUGGCGGCAUGCCUAACACAUGCAAGUCGAACGGGAUCCAGGCUUCGGCCUGGUGAGAGUGGCGGACGGGUGAGUAACGCGUGGGAACCUGCCCAAUGGUCUGGGAUAACCGCGGGAAACUGCGGCUAAUACCGGAUAAGCCCGAGAGGGGAAAGAUUUAUCGCCGAUGGAGGGGCCCGCGUCCGAUUAGGUAGUUGGUGAGGUAACGGCUCACCAAGCCGACGAUCGGUAGCUGGUCUGAGAGGAUGAUCAGCCACACUGGGACUGAGAUACGGCCCAGACUUCUACGGGAGGCUGCAGUAACGAAUCUUCCGCAAUGCACGAAAGUGUGACGGAGCGACGCCGCGUGGAGGAGAAGCCCUUC